rnacentral:tRNA from 1 species
GUCUCUGUAGCGCAAUGGAUAGCGCGUUGUACUUCUAAUGCGAGAGGGACGUGGGUUCGAUUCCCACCUGGGAUA